rnacentral:rRNA from 1 species
UACGGGGGGGGUAAGCGUUGUUCGGAAUUACUGGGCAUAAAGGGCUCGUAGGCGGCCAACUAAGUCAGACGUGAAAUCCCUCAGCUUAACUGGGGAACUGCGUCUGAUACUGGAUGGCUUGGAUUCGGGAGAGGAAUGCGGAAUUCCAGGUGUAGCGGUGAAAUGCGUAGAUAUCAGGAGGAACACCGGUGGCGAAGGCGGGUCUCUGGGCAGUAACUGACGCUGAGGAGCGAAAGCGUGGGGAGCGAACAGG